rnacentral:rRNA from 1 species
GAAGCACCGGUGAGUAAUGUCUGGGAAGGCCCGGGAUAACUACUGGAAACGGUAGCUAAUACCGCAUAACGUCGCAAGGAGGGGGACCUUGGGCCAAAAAUCCCCGGUUGCCAUCAAUUUGUGCCCAGAUGGGAUGGCCAGCUAGUGGUGGGGUACGGCUCACCUAGGGACGUCCCUAGCUGGGGAUGACCAGCCACACUGAACUGAGACCG